CUGCUAAGACUGGAUAGGAGACAAGAGGGCAUCUUCUUGUUUUUAAAGACCUAGCAAUAGGUAUGCUUAGGGAGGAGCUUGCGUCACAUUAGUUAGUUGGUGGGGUAAAGGCCUACCAAGACUAUGAUGUGUAGCCGGGCUGAGAGGUUGAACGGCCACAUUGGGACUGAGACACGGCCCAAACUCCUACGGGAGGCAGCAGUAGGGAAUUUUCGGCAAUGGAGGAAACUCUGACCGAGCAACGCCGCGUGAACGAUGAAGUAUUUCGGUACGUAAAGUUCUUUUAUUAGGGAAGAAUAAAUGAUGGAAAAAUCAUUCUGACGGUACCUAAUGAAUAAGCCCCGGCUAACUAUGUGCCAGCAGCCGCGGUAAUACAUAGGGGGCAAGCGUUAUCCGGAAUUAUUGGGCGUAAAGGGUGCGUAGGCGGUUAAAUAAGUUUAUGGUCUAAGUGCAAUGCUCAACAUUGUGAUGCUAUAAAAACUGUUUAGCUAGAGUAAGAUAGAGGCAAGUGGAAUUCCAUGUGUAGUGGUAAAAUGCGUAAAUAUAUGGAGGAACACCAGUAGCGAAGGCGGCUUGCUGGGUCUUUACUGACGCUGAGGCACGAAAGCGUGGGGAGCAAACAGGAUUAGAUACCCUGGUAGUCCACGCCGUAAACGAUGAGUACUAAACGUUGGGUAAAACCAGUGUUGAAGUUAACACAUUAAGUACUCCGCCUGAGUAGUACGUACGCAAGUAUGAAACUUAAAGGAAUUGACGGGACUCCGCACAAGCGGUGGAUCAUGUUGUUUAAUUCGAAGGUACCCGAAAAACCUCACCAGGUCUUGACAUGCUUCUGCAAAGCUGUAGAAACACAGUGGAGGUUAUCAGUUGCACAGGUGGUGCAUGGUUGUCGUCAGCUCGUGUCGUGAGAUGUUGGGUUAAGUCCCGCAACGAGCGCAACCCUUAUUGUUAGUUACCAGCACGUAAUGGUGGGGACUUUAGCAAGACUGCCAGUGAUAAAUUGGAGGAAGGUGGGGACGACGUCAAAUCAUCAUGCCCCUUAUGACCUGGGCUACAAACGUGAUACAAUGGCUGUUACAAAGGGUAGCUGAAGCGCAAGUUUUUGGCGAAUCUCAAAAAAACAGUCUCAGUUCGGAUUGAAGUCUGCAACUCGACUUCAUGAAGUUGGAAUCGCUAGUAAUCGCGAAUCAGCA
rnacentral:rRNA from 1 species